UAGUGUGUGUGUGUGUGAGUCAGCUUUUCAUUACUGUAACAAAUAUCUGAAAUAUAAAGAGAAAAAGUGUGUUUUGGUUCACAGUUUUUGAGGUUUUUGUCCAUAAUUGGCUGGCUUCAUUGAUUUUUGGGUCUAGCAUGAUUCAUGGAAGGAGAGCAUGGUAGACCAAAGCUGUUCACCUCCUAACAGGGAUGUGAAAGGGAAAGAGGAAGAGAGAAGGGAUGGCCUCCCACUAUAUCCUUCAAGGGCUCCUGCACAAUUUCCUAAAACCUUCUGCUGGGUCCCCUCUAUUGACAUUUUCACCACCUCCUAAUAGUGCCCUUUUGGGGCACAAGUCUUUGAUACAUGAGUCUUUAAGGGACGUUUUAGAUCCAAACUAUAGUAUAUGUGUUCAUGUUUAUGUUUAUAUGCAUGUGUUGUGCACUCUGUGUGUGUGUUUGUGUAUGUGUGUGUCUAUCUUAUAUUUAAAAAUAAUAGCACAAAAGCAACUGUGUUGUGGGGUGGGCCUCACAAAGGCAAAGUCCAUCUGCAGACACUCUAUCUUCCAUCCUUGACCUUCGUCUUUCUGCUCUAUGAUCUGGUUCAUGCUGCCUUCCCUGGACCUGUAAGGACUGUGCAGUGAUUGAAGGCAGGAGACUUUGAUGGAAACCACCAGCACAGCAUGUUACAUCUAUAAGGGACCACCAAGCAAAUUGCCACCAUGGGUUAUGGCCAUCAGUAUGUGGCAAGAGGGAAAACAGGAAACAUCUUGGUGGUGGUGUCUGUAAAGAAAAGGUGUCCAGAUUAUCCCCCAAAAUGAAGCAUGUUUGCACUUGAAACCAGGGACCCAGGGAUUCUUCCAGAGUGCACUCUAAAGGACAGAGUAUGGUGGUGGACAUAGAUAGUGCAGUUCUUCCUCCCAAGGAUAAAGGAAGAGAGUGGAGCCUCACAGAGCCAGGCAGCAGCAGGUUACCAUUUGCUAAACGUUGUGAGUGCAGCAUUUAAAAAUCAUUUGUAUAAAUUAUACAUUAAUUAAUAACCUAUCUUUGUGUGCAAAAAAGGAAAAAAAAAUCUUUAGGUGGUCUUUUAAAUAAAUUGGAAAAAAGAGGAUUGUAUGCUUUUCCAAUUGGAAAAAGAGAGGAUUGUAUGCUUUCCAACAAUAUGUUUUGAUUUCUAGUGUUUGCUAAUAUAAUAGGUAAAAUGGUAUUUUUGGUUUAAUUUGCAUUCUUUGAAUACUGUUGAACCUGACCUCCUCUUUAUUUACUUGUCAGCUAUGUGGAUUUCACCUAUAGUUGCAAAAUUUAUAAAAUAAAAAUUGAGGAUUUGUUGAUAAAUUUGAAUUUUAUGUAAACCAUAACUAAUAUUUUUGUUUGUAUUGUGCAAUAAUUGGGAUAUAUUUAUUUAUGAACAACAGUAAUUGUCUAUUUGAAAUUCAAAUUUAAUGCAGCAUCCUGAAUUUCUCAUAACACUCAUUUUUAACAUAUAUUUUUUAGUUUUCCUUGGACUUUUAUUUUGUUUAUUUAUAUGUGUGGCUGAAAAUCAAACCAAGUGCUUCAUACGUGCUAGGAAAGUCUUCAUCACUGAGCUACAAGCCCAGCCCAUGAAAUCGUCAUCUUCUAGAGUUGCAAAUAUAUUAUUCUACAGCACUGGUGGUUCCAGACUUAACACAGACGUAUGAUGGUGUGAUCAAGGAUUUUUCAUCUUGAAAUCAAUAAACAUUCAGUAGAAUAUAAUUUCAGAUUCUGAAUUUAAUCUUUUUAUACCACUCAUAUUUGUUUUUGGGAUAGAAUGUAUUAGACCCAAUGGUUAUCUACCACUGAGCUACAUUUCCAGCUUUUUUUUAAUUUUGAGACAGGCUCUUGCUAAAUUACCCAGACUGGUCUGGAACUUCCAUUUAUCCUGUCUCAGCUUCCUGGGGACCUGGGAUUACAGGUAUAUGCCAUCAUCCUGUGAGAUAUUCUUUUUUGAUGCUGAGAAACAGCAGGGAGCUGAAGAUCCCAGUAAGACACUAGAUCAUGAAGAUAAAUGACUGAUAUUCUACAGUGUGCUUUGCUGCUAAGCUGUGAUGUUUGGUAGGCCAGGUGUGUUAAACACAUUCUUGAAUUAUAUUUUAGAUUUAUGAUAGUUUUGAGAUGUAACCAUUGUAAUUUGUGUGGCUUGGUGUUUAGAUUUCGGCCAGUUAUAUGUGAACAGAAAUGAAAUGUGCAGCUUCUGAAUUGUCUUUUUAAAGGUGCUUGUCCUGUAUUUGGUGUGCCCAUCUUCUUUUCCCUGCCACUGACUGGAAUGGCAAAUACUGCCUAGAACUCAUAUAGAAGCUCUGUCCUGAAGAUAUCAGCCCUGAAUGACCUUGUGAAGGAAACUAAUACUGCUUUCUCUCCCCUCAGUCACAUGUGUAGCUUCAUGUUGUUUCAUGAAAAAUAAUACAUAUUUUUUCUUGUUUGAGCCAUUGUAUUUUGGAAUUGCUUCAUUACAACUAUUCAACCCAUACCCUGUAAAAUGCCAAAAUUUAGUACCUAAAUUGGGGUAUUCUAUAAUAAUAAAUGCAUGACAUUAGGUACAUCAUUGGCUGACAUAAUUAAAAAACAUUAUAUGGGGCUUGGUAGAGUGAUUGCUUAGCAUGCAUGAGGAACUGGGUUUUAUCCUCAACAUCAUGUAAAAAUAAAAUAAAGAUAUUUUGUCCACCUAUGGCAAAAAAUAAAUAUUAAAAAAUGUAAGUUAAAGAACCAUUGACUCUGAAUUAAAUAGUUGUACAAUA